rnacentral:rRNA from 1 species
AUUGAACGCUGGCGGCAUGCCUUACGCAUGCAAGUCGAACGGCAGCAUGGGUGCUUGCACCUGAUGGCGAGUGGCGAACGGGUGAGUAAUACAUCGGAACGUACCCGGAAGUGGGGGAUAACGUAGCGAAAGUUACGCUAAUACCGCAUAUUCUGUGAGCAGGAAAGAGGGGGAUCGCAAGACCUCUCGCUUUCGGAGCGGCCGAUGUCGGAUUAGCUAGUUGGCGGGGUAAAGGCCCACCAAGGCAACGAUCCGUAGCGGGUCUGAGAGGAUGAGCCGCCACACCGGGACUGAGACACGGCCCAGACUCCUACGGGAGGCAGCAGUGGGGAAUUUUGGACAAUGGGGGCAACCCUGAUCCAGCCAUGCCGCGUGAGUGAAGAAGGCCUUCGGGUUGUAAAGCUCUUUCGGCCGGGAAGAAAUCGCACAGGCUAAUACCUUGUGUGGAUGACGGUACCGGAAUAAGAAGCACCGGCUAACUACGUGCCAGCAGCCGCCGCAGUAA